rnacentral:rRNA from 1 species
GACGAACCAUGCAAACGUUAUUCGGAUUCACUGGGCUUAAAGCGUGCGUAGGCGGUCUUGUUAGUCAGGUGUGAAAGCCCUCAGCCUAACUGAGGAAUUGCGCUUGAUACUGCAUGACUAGAGAAUGAUAGAGGUGGGUGGAACUGAUGGUGGAGCGGUGAAAUGCGUUGAUAUCAUCAGGAACACCAGUGGCGAAGGCGGCGACCUGGACGGACACUGACGCUGAGACGCGAAAGCGUGGGGAGCAAACAGG